AACGAACGCUGGCGGCAUGCCUAACACAUGCAAGUCGAACGAGACCUUCGGGUCUAGUGGCGCACGGGUGCGUAACGCGUGGGAACCUGCCCUUAGGUUCGGCAUAACUCCCCGAAAGGGGUGCUAAUACCGGAUAAUGUCUUCGGACCAAAGAUUUAUCGCCUUUGGAUGGGCCCGCGUUGGAUUAGCUAGUUGGUAGGGUAAAAGCCUACCAAGGCGACGAUCCAUAGCUGGUCUGAGAGGAUGAUCAGCCACACUGGGACUGAGACACGGCCCAGACUCCUACGGGAGGCAGCAGUGGGGAAUAUUGGACAAUGGGCGAGAGCCUGAUCCAGCAAGGCCGCGUGAGUGAUGAAGGCCUUAGGGUUGUAAAGCUCUUUUACCCGGGAUGAUAAUGACAGUACCGGGAGAAUAAGCGCCGGCUAACUCCGUG
rnacentral:rRNA from 1 species